GGAGACAGAGAUGCUGAAAGCGCUAAUAUAGUAGCGCUCGGAGAUGAACGAAGAUUUCUAAUUAUGGAAGCUAUUACAAAAAUAGCAAGUGAAGGUGGACUGAAUGUUGAAUCACUUGACACGUGUCGCCUAGUUGGGUUGUUCAGAAGUAUGAUAAAUUUCGAAAGUGACUCAUAUAUAGUCAAGGCUAAGGUGAAAAAAGGUGUUUGUAAACUAACUACUAAACUGGACAUGGUAAGCAAUUACAUACAAUGUCCGGACGGAAUUCAUGAAGUCGUACUCGGCGGUGGUACUAUCAAAUUAGAGAAAUUUAACUAGUAAUAUCAUCAUAGUUAAGACCACAUGUUAAAGUUUAAUCAUUAAAUAUAAAAAAUUAUAUAAUACUACGAUUAUUAUUUUACAACAUUUUUGUA